GAUGAAGAACGCAGCGAAAUGCGAUAAGUAAUGUGAAUUGCAGAAUUCAGUGAAUCAUCGAAUCUUUGAACGCACAUUGCGCCCGCCAGUAUUCUGGCGGGCAUGCCUGUCCGAGCGUCAUUUCAACCCUCGAACCCCUCCGGGGGGUCGGCGUUGGGGAUCGGCCCUUUACGGGGCCGGCCCCGAAAUACAGUGGCGGUCUCGCCGCAGCCUCUCCUGCGCAGUAGUUUGCACACUCGCAUCGGGAGCGCGGCGCGUCCACAGCCGUUAAACACCCCAAACUUCUGAAAUGUCGACCUCGGAUCAGGUAGGAAUACCCGCUGAACUUAAGCAUAUCAAUAAGCGGAGGA
rnacentral:misc_RNA from 1 species